AUAGGGGUUGAGUGUUGGACUGACAACCCAAUCUCGCAAAAACCCACUUGUUAAACCCACCGGAAACUUCAAGAAGAAAAGCCGGAUUGAAUAAUUGAUGCAAACUCCUGAAGAAGGCUGAAGCCCAUUAUGGAAUGUAGUAGCAAUGGAUGGAUGGAUGGAGAUGAAUAGAACUAAUGUAUAUCUUCAUAACUUGUUUCUAUUUUCUUUAAAUCUUAGAAUUUGGACGAAUAUAGUGAGUUGAAUAUUUUUUUUAUUGGCAGUAUAGUUCGAACGGUCGACGCUAGAUGGCAAUACAUGAAUAGUUUGGUCGACCAGUAAAAAGUUGUUAAGCCUCUGCAAUUUCUAUUAAUAUAUUACUAAAAAUAUUUUGAUAGAUAAUAGUAUAUUCGAACUAUUUGUAUCAAUAAAUAUUUUAGUUAUUUAUUAGAAUAAAAGAAAAAUUAUUCUUUGAGAUAAGAAUAUUUUUCGUCAGCUUUGAUGUCAUCAUUGUGAAAAGAUAAGAAAGCGAAAGAGAGUAAACGUAAUUUUCCGCUGAUAUAGGUCGGAAAGUUUAUCGAAGACCCCCACGUAUGUUACUUAAUUUACAACCUUCUAACUUGUUCGACGGUUUAUGUCAUUUAUGUGUUAUGAUAGAUUUCGAGAUAAUAAUUUUUGUUUGUUCUUUUUCUUUAUUAAACAGAGAAAGUAGUGUACAAUCAUCUCGAUAAAACAAGACCCUGCUUUUGUUUUUUGAGGAUAAACACGUCUCUUUUGUAUUUGGCGAUUAUAUAUCAAUCUUUUAUCUUGUCAUCGACUACUUCAGAGUAACAUGUUCAGUUCACAUAUGAUAACUACAUUAUCGAUGGAGAAUGAGAGAGGAAAAGUGGGAGGAAGCGAGAUAGAUAGAAAGAUAGCUGGAUAGAGAUUGAGAGAGACAGAGAGAGAGAGAGAGAGGACUUUGUCUUUUGUUUUCUUUUUCUUUUUAUUUUUAAUUUUAAUUUUAAAUUCGAGACAACUCGUCUAGCGGUCAUUCAAGGAAAUCCAAGUUCUAUUUCGGUUUUCUCGUGUCGUUCGUGUCUACCAUGUUGCAAUAUUCCAGACACACGCGCAAAAGGGGAUAGGCAAUUUCCUUAAACGAAGGAAGUGAACGAUAGCCUAACCUUCUCGUCAUCAAGGGUCACAACCUGAAUGGAACGUUACGAGCUUUGAAACAUGUGAUCACACGAUGGACACGUGCAAGCUCUUUGAUUUCUUCAAAUACGAUCGAUUUCUCUUUAAUGCACGCACACACGCGUCCACACGCACACGCACGAAUCAUGCAAUAUUGUCGAUUGUCGAAUUUUCUCGAAUCUGAUUGUAAGAUUUCUUUGUUUUAGUUGAAUCAUUUUGUUCAAUUAUUUUUACUAUUAAUUCCGAUAAAAAAAGUAAGGUAAAUUUUUAUUAAAUUACUAAAAUACAAUAGUAGUAAUAAUAAUAUAAUAAUAGUAAUAAGAUUUAUUUGAAAUUAUUGUAAUUUCGAUUAAAACAAAACAUAUUAAAUACAUUCUAUGAUCUCGUUAGGGAAACCAAAGUUAUUAGAAAAGUCAUUAAGUAUGAACCUUAACCUAUCGAUUUUCUCUCCUUUCGAAUUACCUUUUACGGAAGUUAGUUAAAGUAGGCGAGAAAAAAAAAAAAGAAGCAUUCAAUGUUAAGGAUCGUCGUUGGACUUUGAUAGAAUUACUAAUAAAUUUUCAAUCGGGCGAGAGAGGAAAGUUCUUCUCGUGUCAUGAGUAAUAAAAGGAAUUUUUUUAAAGGUCAAGCUUCGGCCUCUAAAGGGGAAUAAUUAUAGGUUAGAAUGUAUCUCACGAGAAUUGAACCCAUACUAUUUCCGAGUGAUCAUCUAAUUGGUAAAUUUUGAUAGAAUUGAUAAAUUCUUUUAUUCCUUAGAAUUUUUUCAAUAAUUAAUUCGUCAUUCGUGGAUUAAUAUUGAUGUGCGUCGCUUAAUAUUAUUUGUAAACAAAUGAGAGCAGUCCAAUGACACUAGCGAGUCACGUGGUAAUAGUAUGUCUCUAUCCUUGUCUGCUGUCUGUUUCUUUCUCUCUCUCUCUCUCUCUCUCUCUCUCUCUCUCUCUCUCUCUCUCUCUCUCUGUCUCUCUGUCUCUCUGUGUAUAUCCUAUCUUACACAUACACACACAGUUUUAUUCGUCUCCGUAUAUCAACCGAGUCUCUUAUCGGUAUUCAUUAGUCCAAUAAACUUUAAUCAAGUUGCUCGGCUACGAGAAGAGGAAAAAGGUUUCAAGGUCUUGGCUUGUUGGCGCUUGGCUGAUCGUACGACGACUUUGCUAACUACGCGACAGAAAUAUUCUGACGUAACAACGAUCCAUGACUUUGCUCGAAGGAUGUUCCUAAUGAUUCUCCAUUUAAUCGCACAAAUAAAAAUGCUUUUUAUAUUUUUGUCUUUUUUUUUUCUUAUUUCUUUUUUUAUUAAAUUUGGGGAUUUUAAAAGUGUAUUUCCAAGAAUUGAACGAGGAAAAACGUC